rnacentral:tRNA from 1 species
AAUAAGUUGGCAGAGUAGUGCCACCGACUUAGAAUCGGUUUAUGGAGGUAUCCACUUAUUAAUUA